rnacentral:rRNA from 1 species
GGCGCACGGGUGCGUAACGCGUAUGCAACCAGCCCCGUCCAGGCGGAUAGCCGGUGGAAACGCCGGAUAAUACGCCACGGUCCCGGAGGGUGGCAUCCCUUUCCGGGUGAAGCGGAGACGCGGGACGGGACGGGCAUGCGUGCCAUUAGCUUGUUGGCGGGGCGACGGCCCACCAAGGCUACGAUGGCUAGGGGAUCUGAGAGGACGGUCCCCCACACUGGUACUGAGACACGGACCAGACUCCUGCGGGAGGCAGCAGUAAGGGAUAUUGGUCAAUGGGGGGAACCCUGAACCAGCCAUGCCGCGUGAGGGAAUGAGGCCCUACGGGUCGUGAACCUCUUUUAUUCGGGGACAACGGCGGCGUCGCGAACGCCGCGUGAGGGUACCGAAGGAAUAAGCGUCGGCUAACUCCGUGCCAGCAGCCGCGGUAAUACGGAGGACGCGAGCGUUAUCCGGAUUUAUUGGGUUUAAAGGGAGCGCAGGCUGAAGGUUAAGCGUGACGUGAAAUGUAGCCGCUCAACGGCUGAACUGCGUCGCGAACUGGCUUUCUUGAGUGAGUUCGAUGUAGGCGGAAUUCGUGGUGUAGCGGUGAAAUGCUUAGAUAUCACGAAGAACCCCGAUUGCGAAGGCAGCCUACAAGGCCUUUACUGACGCUAAAGCUCGAAGGUGCGGGUAUCGAACAGGAUUAGAUACCCUGGUAGUCCGCACGGUAAACGAUGGAUGCCCGCUGUUUGCGAUAUACAGUAAGCGGCCAAGAGAAAUCGUUAAGCAUCCCACCUGGGGAGUACGCCGGCAACGGUGAAACUCAAAGGAAUUGACGGGGGCCCGCACAAGCGGAGGAACAUGUGGUUUAAUUCGAUGAUACGCGAGGAACCUUACCCGGGCUUGAACUGCAGCGGAAGGAUACAGAGAUGUUGACGUCCUUCGGGACCGCUGUGGAGGUGCUGCAUGGUUGUCGUCAGCUCGUGCCGUGAGGUGUCGGCUUAAGUGCCAUAACGAGCGCAACCCUUUUCAUCAGUUGCCAUCAGGUGAUGCUGGGCACUCUGUUGAUACUGCCACCGUAAGGUGUGAGGAAGGUGGGGAUGACGUCAAAUCAGCACGGCCCUUACGUCCGGGGCUACACACGUGUUACAAUGGGGUAUACAGAAGGCAGGAUCAUGGCAACAUGGUUCAAAUCUAGAAAGUGCCCCUCAGUUCGGAUUGGGGUCUGCAACCCGACCCCAUGAAGCUGGAUUCGCUAGUAAUCGCGCAUCAGCCAUGGCGCGGUGAAUACGUUCCCGGGCCUUGUACACACCGCCCGUCAAG